ACAAUGUUAGAGAACAUUUGGCUUUAUCUGCAUUGUAUCAGGUAGAGUGCUUUUAAUUGAUUAUAAUAUAUUGAUAUUUUAGUCUCUACAAUUGAUACUUGGAUAAAUUGGAUUUUUCUCUCUUACAUUUAAUGACUACUUGUUGUACACUGUUGCCUCAAAGACAAAAUACAGUUUCAGAAAAGGUAAUAGUUAUUAAAGGAUUCACAUUAAUUCAUAGCUGUAAUCCAGCAUUAAAAUGCAUCUUAAUUUUCAAGGUUCAAUACAAUAGAAAUGACUGCCAAUUCCAUUCUAGUUCUGCUUGUUUGACAACAGAGAAGAAUAUGCAUAAAUGAAUAAUUUACAGUUUUUUUCUCUCUUUUUUGUGGGAUGGGGUAAUUUAUUCUGUGUAAACACUCUUUCAUUAUUCAAGUUUUCUGUCAUGUGUUUGAGAAGAUACAAAUGCAAAUAUUCUUUCUUCCACCGCCACUUUUCCGAAUGCUGAAACCAUCCAGAGAUAGUGGACCAACACACACACAGUUAAACAAGAUGGACUGUAGGACAGUGCUGCUGCUUUUGACUGUCUUCUGUGCAGAGGGGUUUGAGCAGAAUCCAACUGUUAAUACAACAGUUAUUAUCUUUUCUGACGGCACCAAUACCACCCAAUGCGUUGUGAAAGAAUUUGUACCAAAGAAACAUGACCUCAAAUGGCUGAAAAACGGGAAAGACAUCACCAGCGAAAUAGAUCUGCCGUUUACAGUUGUGACUACAGUUUCUGAUCAAGAAAGGAUGGAAAGAAGGUGUACAAUGCAGAAAGUCGUCUCAUAGUAAAUUCCAGUGAUGUGAAUGCAGAUGCUGAAUUCACUUGUGUGUUAACGGGAGGGCAAAAUGCAUCUUUGAAUAAAACUGACAGAGACAACCCAGUAGAUUUUUCCAUAACUGCAGAUCUGAAAAACAGAAUGUUACAAUUACAGACACACAUCUUUCUGUCUGUUAACAUAUAUGCAUAAUGUCAAUACAUAAUGUCAAAACUCAAUGUCUUCUCUUUAAACUUAUAUAGUAAUAUCCCUGUUUAAUUGAAUAUCUCUUUCUGAUGGGACAGGGCCAACAGUGACCAUCCACAUCCUCCCACAGUCACGCACUGACCCAUAUAAGCCUGAAGAUGAAAUCACUCUGGUGUGUCUGGUCACCAGUACUGUGGAUAAGAGGUUUACAAUCGAAUGGUCAGAAAGGAAUGGGAGACAAGGAGGUUAUGUUACAGGCACUGACUUCCCUGCACAGCAGAGCAAAAAUGACCAGAAAUGGCGAAGUAUGAGUCUUUACACCACCAGUAAGGAAAACUGGUACAAAAAAGAUCCAGCCAAAACGUUCACCUGCCAUGUCCGAUCUGAACAUAUUUCAAUAACAGUGUCCAGCAGCUCUGGUAAUUCCAAAGAAUGUGACUGUAACUACUAAGCUUUAAAUAUGAUAUGUCAUCAUUUUGUUUUUCAACCUGUCUAAGUCACAGUGUCAUUUAGUUGAUAUGUGUGAUGUCUGUUUGAAAUAGAUGUUGCAUGGAGACUCUUUGGUUUAUGUGUAGAUGAAUAACUUGAAGUGUCACUUAAAAAAGACAAUGUCACCGCUGAAGAGGAUUUUAGCAUCCUAUGGUUGAGAUUGUUCUUUAAUACAAUGGUAGAUAUAUCUAACCUAAAUAUGGGUCCUGUGAUUGGAACAUGCAGGUUAAAUCCUUAACACAGUGACUCCACUAUAUAAACACUUCACUGUGAGUAUGCAUAGUAUAUAUGAGUAUAUGUGAUUCCACACAAUUUAUAAGAGUAACUAUGAUUACAUGUCUAGUGUACACAGGUAUAUAUGUCAUAAUAAAAUCCACAACACCAGCUGUGGCAAACUAUCA